GACGAACGCUGGCGGCGUGCUUAACACAUGCAAGUCGAACGGAAAGGCCCUGCUUUUGUGGGGUGCUCGAGUGGCGAACGGGUGAGUAAAACGUGAGUAACCUGCACUUGAAUUUGGGAUAACUUCAGGAAACUGGGGCUCAUACCGGAUAGGAUCUCCUGAUGCAUGGUGGGGGAUGGAAAGUUUCGGCGGUUGGGGAUGGACUGGAGGCUUAUCAGCUUGAUGGUGGGGUAGUGGCUUACCAAGGCUUUGACGGGUAGCCGGCCUGAGAGGGUGACCGGCCACAUUGGGACUGAGAUACGGCCCAGACUCCUACGGGAGGCAGCAGUGGGGAAUAUUGCACAAUGGGCGGAAGCCUGAUGCAGCAACGCCGCGUGCGUGAUGACGGCCUUCGGGUUGUAAACCGCUUUCGCCUGUGACGAAGCGUGAGUGACGGUAAUGAGUAAAGAAGCACCGGCUAACUACGUG
rnacentral:rRNA from 1 species